rnacentral:lncRNA from 1 species
UGGUGGUUGAUCUCACAACCUCUUAUAUGGUGACACUAAUACAAGGAUGUGGGUGCUCAUUAGAGAAUGAGUUUACUGAAUAGACCUGUAAAACAACGGUCAAUAAGGGAUCAGUUACUCCUAAUAAGGGGAGCGAACAUCCUAUAUGAUCUCGUAGGUUGAUGAUUCUGAAAGUCUUUGGCCAAAGCAGGAUGAUAAUUAGAA